GUAUAGUAUUUAUAUGACAGCUAAUGAAAACAGGUACAAGAAUAACAUUAUUCAAGUAUUAUUUUAUUUGAUUUUGAUCGAAUGAAGAAUUCUUACUAUCAAUCAAAUAUCCCAAAAUAAAAUGAUUGUUAAAAAAAAUAAAAUUAUUAUGUAUCUUCAUUUCAUUUCAUAAAGCUCAUCAUCUGAUCAAAUAUAUACUGCUGAACCUAUCAGCUCACCCAUUCCAGCACAGAUUGCUGUCUCAGGAUGCCAGACAGCUGAUGAACCACCAUCUUCUGUGGAGAGUAUCUGGAUUAGGAGACUGGAGCAGGUUCACCAGAGAAAUGAAGAAACACCUUAUACUGAACAUGCCAACCUAUCAGCCCAAAUACCUCUUUCAUUUACCGGUACUAAUAGCAGCACUCAGCAACCACCAAAAGCCAGUGAGAAUAAACGGACAAAGAAACCCAAGAGAACUGCAGAAGAUGUGUACGAGUUGCAGUGUCAGGCAUUAGAGAUCGAGCUAAAAAGAAAUCGG